rnacentral:rRNA from 1 species
GAUGAACGCUGGCGGCGUGCCUAAUACAUGCAAGUCGAGCGAACAGACGAGGAGCUUGCUCCUCUGACGUUAGCGGCGGACGGGUGAGUAACACGUGGAUAACCUCCCUAUAAGACUGGGAUAACUUCGGGAAACCGGAGCUAAUACCGGAUAAUAUAUUGAACCGCAUGGUUCAAUAGUGAAAGACGGUUUUGCUGUCACUUCUCGAUGGAUCCGCGCCGCAUUAGCUAGUUGGUAAGGUAACGGCUUACCAAGGCAACGAUGCGUAGCCGACCUGAUAGGGUGAUCGGCCACACUGGAACUGAGACACGGUCCAGACUCCUACGGGAGGCAGCAGUAGGGAAUCUUCCGCAAUGGGCGAAAGCCUGACGGAGCAACGCCGCGUGAGUGAUGGAGGUCUUCGGAUCGUAAAACUCUGUUAUUAGGGAAGAACAAAUGUGUAAGUAACUAUGCACGUCUUGACGGUACCUAAUCAGAAAGCCACGGCUAACUACGUG